GAUGAACGCUGGCGGCGGGCCUAAUACAUGCAAGUCGAGCGAACAGACGAGGAUCUUGCUUCUCUUACGUUAGCGGCGGACGGGUGAGUAACACGUGGAUAACCUACCUAUAAGACUGGGAUAACUUCGCGAAACCGGAUCUAAUACCGGAUAACAUGGUGAACGGGAUGGUUCAUCAGUGAAAGACCGUCUUGCUGUCACUUAGAGAUGGUUCCGCGCCGCAUUAGCUAGUUGGUAAGGUAACGGCUUACCAAGGCAACGAUGCGUAGCUGACCUGAGAGGGUGAUCAGCCACACUGGAACUGAGACACGGUCCAGACUCCUACGGGAGGCAGCAGUAGGGAAUCUUCCGCAAUGGGCGAAAGCCUGACGGAGCCACGCCGCGUGAGUGAAGAAGGUCUUCGGAUCGUAAAACUCUGUUAUUAGGGAAGAACAACUGUGUAAGUAACUAUGCACGUCUUGACGGUACCUACUCAGAAAGCCACGGCUAACUACGUG
rnacentral:rRNA from 1 species